GACGAACGCUGGCGGCGUGCUUAACACAUGCAAGUCGAACGGUAAGGCCCUUCGGGGUACACGAGUGGCGAACGGGUGAGUAACACGUGGGUGAUCUGCCCUGCACUUCGGGAUAAACCUGGGAAACUGGGUCUAAUACCGGAUAGGACCACUGCCUGCAUGGGUGGUGGUGGAAAGCUUUUGCGGUGUGGGAUGGGCCCGCGGCCUAUCAGCUUGUUGGUGGGGUGAUGGCCUACCAAGGCGACGACGGGUCGCCGGCCUGGGAGGGUGACCGGCCACACUGGGACUGAGAUACGGCCCAGACUCCUACGGGAGGCAGCAGUGGGGAAUAUUGCACAAUGGGCGCAAGCCUGAUGCAGCGACGCCGCGUGAGGGAUGACGGCCUUCGGGUUGUAAACCUCUUUCAGCACCGACGAAGCGCAAGUGACGGUAGGUGCAGAAGAAGGACCGGCCAACUACGUGCCAGCCGCCGCCGUAAGAC
rnacentral:rRNA from 1 species